rnacentral:rRNA from 1 species
CCUACGGGUGGCAGCAGUGAGGAAUAUUGGUCAAUGGGCGGGAGCCUGAACCAGCCAAGUCGCGUGAAGGAAGAAGGUACUUAGUAUUGUAAACCUCUUUUGUCAGGGAACAAAGGCGGGGACGCGUCCCCGGAUGAGUGUACCUGAAGAAAAAGCAUCGGCUAACUCCGUGCCAGCAGCCGCGGUAAUACGGAGGAUGCGAGCGUUAUCCGGAUUUAUUGGGUUUAAGGGGUGCGCAGGCGGUCUGUUAAGUCCGCGGUCAAAGCCCGGGGCUCAACCCCGGCCCGCCGUUGAAACUGGCAGUCUCGAGUUGGAGAGAAGUAGGCGGAAUGCGCGGUGUAGCGGUGAAAUGCAUAGAUAUCGCGCAGAACUCCGAUUGCGAAGGCAGCAUGCCGGCUCCACACUGACGCUGAGGCACGAAAGCGUGGGUAUCGAACAGGAUUAGAUACCCCUGUAGUC